UAACGCAGCGAAAGCUGUGCUAAUACCGCAUGUGAUCUGUGGAUGAAAGCGGGGGACUUGGUAGCAAUACUGAGCCUCGCGCGAUUGGAGCGGCCGAUGUCAGAUUAGCUAGUUGGUAGGGUAAAAGCCUACCAAGGCGACGAUCUGUAGCUGGUCUGAGAGGACGACCAGCCACACUGGGACUGAGACACGGCCCAGACUCCUACGGGAGGCAGCAGUGGGGAAUUUUGGACAAUGGGCGCAAGCCUGAUCCAGCAAUGCCGCGUGCAGGACGAAGGCCUUCGGGUUGUAAACUGCUUUUGUACGGAACGAAACGGUCUAGGUUAAUACCCUGGGCUACUGACGGUACCGUAAGAAUAAGCACCGGCUAACUACGUGCCAGCAGCCGCGGUAAUACGUAGGGUGCGAGCGUUAAUCGGAAUUACUGGGCGUAAAGCGUGCGCAGGCUGUUUUGUAAGACAGGCGUGAAAUCCCCGGGCUCAACCUGGGAAUGGCGCUUGUGACUGCAAAGCUAGAGUGCGGCAGAGGGGGAUGGAAUUCCGCGUGUAGCAGUGAAAUGCGUAGAUAUGCGGAGGAACACCGAUGGCGAAGGCAAUCCCCUGGGCCUGCACUGACGCUCAUGCACGAAAGCGUGGGGAGCAAACAGGAUUAGAUACCCU
rnacentral:rRNA from 1 species